UACGUAGGUGGCAAGCGUUGUCCGGAUUUAUUGGGCGUAAAGAGCGUGUAGGCGGCCAGGUAGGUCCGCUGUGAAAACUCGAGGCUCAACCUCGAGAUGUCGGCGGAAACCAUCUGGCUAGAGUCCGGAAGAGGAGAGUGGAAUUCCUGGUGUAGCGGUGAAAUGCGCAGAUAUCAGGAAGAACACCCGUGGCGAAGGCGGCUCGCUGGGACGGUACUGACGCUGAGACGCGAAAGCGUGGGGAGCGAACAGG
rnacentral:rRNA from 1 species